rnacentral:misc_RNA from 1 species
GAUGAAGAACGUAGCGAAAUGCGAUAAGUAAUGUGAAUUGCAGAAUUCAGUGAAUCAUCGAGUCUUUGAACGCACAUUGCGCCCCCUGGUAUUCCGGGGGGCAUGCCUGUCCGAGCGUCAUUGCUGCCCCCAAGCACGGCUUGUGUGUUGGGCCUCCGUCCUCCUCCCGGGGGACGGGCCCGAAAGGCAGCGGCGGCACCGCGUCCGGUCCUCGAGCGUAUGGGGCUUCGUCACCCGCUCUUGUAGGCCCGGCCGGCGCUUGCCGACACAUCAAUCUUUUUUCCAGGUUGACCUCGGAUCAGGUAGGGAUACCCGCUGAACUUAAGCAUAUCAAUAAGCGGAGGA